CCAGUAAACGGCGGCCGUAACUAUAACGGUCCUAAGGUAGCGAAAUUCCUUGUCGGGUAAGUUCCGACCCGCACGAAAGGCGUAACGAUUUGGGCACUGUCUCAACAACAGACUCGGUGAAAUUGUAAUUCCGGUGAAGAUGCCGGAUACCUGCGACAGGACGGAAAGACCCCAUGGAGCUUUACUGUAGCUUGACAUUGGGUCUUGGUACUACAUGUACAGGAUAGGUGGGAGGCUUUGAAACCAGGACGCCAGUUUUGGCGGAGCCAUCCUUGGGAUACCACCCUUGUAGUACUGGGACUCUAACCAUAGGCCAUGAAUCUGGUCUUGGGACACUGUCAGGUGGGCAGUUUGACUGGGGCGGUCGCCUCCCAAAAGGUAACGGAGGCGCUCAAAGGUUCUCUCAGUACGGUCGGAAAUCGUACGUAGAGUGUAAAGGCAAAAGAGAGCUUGAUUGCAAGACAUACAGGUCGAGCAAGGAUGAAAAUCGGACUUAGUGAUCCGGUGGUUCUGCGUGGAAGGGCCAUCGCUCAACGGAUAAAAGCUACCCUGGGGAUAACAGGCUUAUCUCCCCCAAGAGUCCACAUCGACGGGGAGGUUUGGCACCUCGAUGUCGGCUCAUCACAUCCUGGGGCUGUAGUAGGUCCCAAGGGUUGGGCUGUUCGCCCAUUAAAGUGGUACGCGAGCUGGGUUCAGAACGUCGUGAGACAGUUCGGUCCCUAUCCGUCGCAGGCGUAGGAAAUUUGAGAAGACCUGUCCUUAGUACGAGAGGACCGGGAUGGACGUACCUCUGGUGUACCAGUUGUUCUGCCAAGGGCAUGGCUGGGUAGCUAUGUACGGAAUGGAUAAGCGCUGAAAGCAUCUAAGCGCGAAGCCAACUUCAAGAUAAGAUUUCCCACCGCAAGGGUAAGACCCCAGAAAGACUAUCUGGUUGAUAGGUCGAAGGUGUAAGUGCAGCAAUGUAUUUAGCUUAUCGAUACUAAUAGGUCGAGGACUUGACCAA
rnacentral:rRNA from 1 species